GGCAGAAAUAGCCUUCUGAUGCUUUGAGUUGGGAAGUAAUUAGUCUUGGGAAUGUGAAAUGGGUUAUAAUCUUAAUGUCAUUUUACCAUUACUAAAAUAAGCUAAUUUUGUCCUUUGCUAAUCCAUGCAAAUCCCAUUGAUUUAAUAACAUUGUAUGGAUGAAAAUAAGAAAUAUGGCUGGCCUAUAUUUUGGGAUCUCCUUGCCUAGUGUAAAAGCUUACAGAGCACAUUGUUUGAUGAAGCAGCCAUCCCCCUCAUAUGCUGGAGCACUGCUACUAAGUGCUGGCACAAGCCAGAGCAUCGCCUGUAGCUGUUGCUGUUUCAGAGCUAGCAGGUGAAGCACAAACCCUCUCAUUUCUCUAGAGUAUGUGUACGUGCAAUUUGUCGGUACGUUUACAACAAAAUAGGCUAAGAGCAGAAAACAUGUCUAGUGAUGGUGAAACCUGCUUUAUAUGAAAUGAGAGGCUUCAAAAGCUUACGCAGAUCUUGAAAAACAAAAAAUGCUGGACCAAACAUUGCUAUUUCAGUCAAAUUUAGAACCUUCACCUACUUAAACAGAAACACAUUUAGGUCAGUGCUUUGUGCUUUGCAAAACCGUCUCACUAAUCUCCUUCGGAGCAUUUCUGACUGUGAUUUAGGUGGCGGGGGGGAGGGAAGUGCUUCCAGGCUGAGACUUGUAGCUAAGUUGUCAUAUGGAGUUAAUCUGUUGAAAGGCUGAAGUAGAUAGGAGCUGAAUCCUGAAACCUGCUAUUUACUGGCGAGUAUACUUGCAUGUGGGUAGUUAUUAUUUGGAAGCAUUCAGCCAAGAGAUCCAGAAACUUUUGGUUUUUAAACUGUUUGCCUAAACCGUGAAAGCAAAUUCUAGUUGCCUGGGUUGAUCUUGCUUUGUUUGUGUGUUUCAGCAAGAUUCAGAGAGGUUGUGUCAGAUGAGCUCUUCUAUACGCAGUUUCUUGCAUUCGUCAAGUUUGGGUCCUGUAAGCAAGCUACAAACAUCAAAAGCUCCUGUGUCACUGGUGGUCUUCAGUGCUGGUGGUUUUAUGAAGUUGGUGCUAAAAUGGAGUUGCAGAACUGGGGGAGUUAAACUAAGGAGGAGGUGGCCCUGUGUCCUUUCCAGGCUUCCCAAGCAUCUCAGUUGCCCACUUUUGCGGGCAGGGAUUGGGCCCCAUUCCUGUUUGGGGUGAUGCUUCAGUUCUUGCCUUUACAUGUCUGCUUUUUCCACAAGCAGUAAAAUCAAAAGCUGACAACAGACCUGAUCUUGAUGGAGCACUGCAGCGGCAGCCUGGCUUAUCUGGAAGUACAGAUAGUAUUAAAAUGUGCUCUGUCAAAGAGGGCCAAUUGUCAAGAGGUGGAAGUGAAACUGCAGCACAGUCAUGCACAGAUUUGCUGUCUAGCCAUUAUAAGGCCAAGAAAGUUAGGUAUCACAAAAUUAAAAUUCAUAAUCAAAACAAAAGUACUGUAAUUGCCUGGGGCAACAGAAGCUAACUGUUCUCUUGCAAAUUUGAAAUAGUCAUUUAAGUCUUCCUUCAACUUCCUCUUUUUAUUGUUGUAGACCUAAUAGCCACAGAUUGUUGUGACACCUUGCAUUCACUCAGAACCUGCUCUUCCCUAGGCAAAAAGUACAUUGGAAGUGCUCUCCUUGAGACUUGGUGGGGAGUUAGCACAGAUAGGUACCGGCUGCGUCCUGUAUCCACUUGCUGAUUGCUCUUUCUUGGCAGAGGGUAACUCAGCAGU